rnacentral:antisense_RNA from 1 species
CUCAAUGGUGAGCUGGGUGAGAGCGCUCCGGCGCGCCGUUUCCUUUUGAGCGGUAAGACCAAUCUCAUUCAGUUCGCCACCAGU